GAGCUGUGAUGAAAUAUAUUGCGAUGGUGGGACCAUCACCUCCUGAUUCUCAGGAUGAAAACCAAGAGUAUCUGAGCUC